GGAGUUGUGCCUGAAAUAAAGGACCACUUUGAUAGAGUGUAUUAUGGGGGUUAAAUUCCCCCCAACUCCU
rnacentral:tRNA from 1 species